UACGAAGGGGGCUAGCGUUGUUCGGAAUUACUGGGCGUAAAGGGCGCGUAGGCGGCGUGUCAAGUCAGGCGUGAAAGCCCCGGGCUCAACCUGGGAACUGCAGUCGAAACUGCAAAGCUUGAAUGUUGGAGAGGUUGGGGGAAUACCUAGUGGAGAAGUGAAAUUCGUAGAGAUUAGGUGGAACACCAGAGGCGAAGGCGCCUGACUGGCCAAACAUUGACGCUGAGGCGCGAAAGCGUGGGUAGCAAACAGG
rnacentral:rRNA from 1 species